AGGACCCGGUUUAGUCUAUCUGCAAGCGCUCGACGCGGUGGGUGCUGAGGGGUUGCGCUCGAGGCAGGGUUGCGUGCGUGGUUCCGGAAGCCGGACAGGUGAAUCAACUCACCCUCGCGAUGAAGCGGGAGUGGUAGAUCCUUCUCAUCCUCGCCGUAUACCUCUACCCUCCUGCUCGCUCUCACGUAUUCUUCCCCGAGGAACCCGACGACGACGGCACCGCCGAGGAUGAACGCAAAGUCGCGGAAGAGAGAGUUCGCCAGCGAUCGGCCAUACGCGAACCAGUCGGCCCACGUGGAUCGUGGUCUCGUGUUCUCGUCGCUGGCACCGUUCACACUCGUCCUCGUCCUCGUCCUCGUCCUCGUCUGCGGUUCCAACGCCUCUUACGAGACGCAGGGGCCGAGCUUCGUGACGGAGCCGCCGUCCAGGGUGGAGUUCACAAACGUGAACGGCGGUAGGGUGGACUGCACCGUGCGAGGGAAUCCGCUGCCGACUGUCGACUGGCUGGCGGCGGACGGCGGUAGCAUAAGCAACAUACCCGGCAUCAGGCAUGUCCUUGGCAACGGGACGAUUCACUUUCCCGGUUUCGAGGCCGAGGCCUUCCGGCAGGACGUCCACUGGGCCAUUUAUAAAUGCUCAGCCGUCAACAGCGUCGGCGCCGUCGUUAGCAGAGACGUCACUGUCAGAGCAGUGGUGAACCAGCGUUACGACCCGGAAGUACAAAGUCCCAGCGGCUUCCUCGGCAACAACGUACUUGUGCGCUGCAACGUGCCCAGUUUUGUUCGCGAUCACGUCACGGUCACAUCGUGGCUUCAAGAACCGGCUUUCAAUAUCUAUCCCUCCACGAUGGGCGACGGCAAAUAUCAUAUGCUGCCGACCGGCGAAUUGAUGAUAAUCAAUAUUACGCGAAGCGAUGCACAGAUGACUUAUCGGUGCAGGACGCAUCAUCGGCUAACUCAGGAAACCGUCGUCAGCAGCAAUGUGGGACGCCUGCAACUGACCGAAAUCCGGGGCUCGAUGCCGCCUAUAAUAAACGAGAAAUUGGUCUACAUGUCGGCACGCCUGAAGGACACCGUCGUGAUCCCCUGCGUUGCUUACGCCAACCCUACGCCGUCGAAUAGGUGGUACUACAACAGGAAUCAACGGGAGGAGCCGAUCGAGGAGUCAUCGGGCCAUUACGUGGUGCGAGACGGCUCCCUGAUCAUACAGAACGUCGAAGAAAACGACGGCGGCUCCUACAUGUGCACCGCCAGCAAUUCCGAAGGCAGCGAAACUUUGGAGAUUCGAUUAACGGUGUCUGCGUCGCUAAGCGUUCACGUGCAACCGGCGAUACAGACCGUCGAUCUGGGGAAAUCCGCGUACUUGACGUGCACGGCAAGUGGAUUUCCGCAAGCGGUGCUCUAUUGGCUGAAGGACGGUCAGCCAUUGAGAACGGGCGCCCGCGUAAGGACGGUUUCGAGCGAGCGUAUUUCCGUGACGUCGGUCGCGAGAGAGGACCGCGGCAUGUACCAGUGCUUCGUACGGAACGAGUACGAAAUAGCUCAAGGGAUUGCGGAAUUGCGCUUGGGGGAAAUCGCGCCGCAGCUGGUCUACAGAUUUAUCGAACAGACAAUGCAGCCCGGUCCAUCGGUUUCUCUGAAAUGCAGCGCCGCAGGUAAUCCCACGCCGCAAAUUUCCUGGCUGCUAGAUGGAUUUCCGCUCCCGCAAAACGACAGGCUCCUGAUUGGCCAAUACGUGACCGUGUACGGGGAUGUAAUAUCGCACGUUAAUAUCACGACGGUGAAGCCCGAAGACGGCGGCGAGUACGAGUGCAUCGCGAGCAGCCGCGCUGGCGAAACCAGGCACUCGGCGAGGCUCAAUAUUUACGGACUGCCAUACGUCAGACCUAUGUCGGCCGUUUCAGCGGUCGCGGGGAAACAACUAUAUAUCAAGUGCCCUGUAGCCGGUUAUCCCAUUGAAUCGAUAGUGUGGGAGAAAGGGGAUGUAAAACUGCCAACCGACAUGAGGCAAAGAGUGGCCAACGGCACGCUGUUCGUCGAUACCGUGCAGCGCAGCGCCGACCAGGGCACGUACACAUGCACUGCCAGAAACAAACAUAACUUUACGUCGCAUCGCACGGUCGAAGUGCGUGUGCUAGUGCCACCUAAAAUCACGCCUUUCAGUUUUGCUCGCGAUUUAAACGUAGGGGACCGUACUAGCGUACAGUGCGUAGUCGUGACCGGCGACUUACCACUGACGUUCACGUGGCUCAAAGAUAACGUCCCGAUAGAGACGGUCAGGACGCCGCAGGAUGCGCCGUCGAGCAGCCGCGGUCGGUCGCCGGCCAGUCCUGGGGACGCGAUCAAGGGGCCCCCCAAGCGGGGCCCCACCAUGACCGCCGCCGGCGCCGGGCAUGACGAAGCGUCCCAGAGAAAGAGCAUUACCAUCCGGCAAUAUGACGCUUUUACCAGCGCCCUGAGCAUUAGCACGAUCGCACCCGCGCACAAUGGCACGUACACCUGUCGCGUGACCAAUGGCGCUGCAACCGUCGCUCAUUCUGCACUCCUUCACGUCAACGUACCCCCGAGGUGGACCGUGGAACCUAUCGACCAGAACGCGGUUGUAGGUCACGGCGUCUCCAUCGCCUGUCAGGCCGAAGGAUUCCCCAUUCCGACUGUGACUUGGAAGCAAUCUAUCGGUGAGACUCCGGGCGACUAUAGAGAGCUCGGCUACGGCGGCACGGAGGGCGCCGGGGUGGCCAGGAACGGAUCCUUGGUGAUCCCGCGGGUAUCGCGAGAUCAUGCCGGAUUCUAUCUAUGCCAGGCGAGCAACGGCAUCGGGCCCGGCCUCAGCAAGCUCAUUCGGCUAACGGUUCAUGCAGGCCCCCAGGUGACAGUACGGACAAGACAGGAAUCAGUGCGAAGAGGGGAGAGCGUGAUAUUGCGCUGCGAGGCCGAGGGAGACGCGCCGCUUGAUCUUAGCUGGCGUGCUCGUGACAGCAAGAUCGAUCCUAAUUACGACGUUAGGUACGUGGUGGACAAUACGGUGGACACAUCGGGACGCGUCACCACCGAGCUGCGGGUCGUGCAGGCGAGCCACAUGGACCGCGGCGACUACGUGUGCGUCGCCGCGAAUGCCUAUGGUCAUGCCAAGGCGACGAUCCACUUGCUCGUACAGGAGCCGCCCGAUUUCCCUCGCAAUCUGCACGUAGCCGAGCAGGGCAGCCGCUCGAUCCUGCUGGCCUGGACGUCGCCGGCGAGCGAUCGGGAUGCGAGCCACGCCAGCUCGCCCAUCACCAACUACAUCGUCCAGUACAAGGAGGCGCAAGACGUGUGGCAUGAGCACAACACGCAGAAGCUGGUAGCCGGAGACAACACGGUCGCUCUGGUAUCGCCCCUAAAACCCGCGACUACCUACCACUUUCGAGUGCUUGCGGAAAAUCAUCUUGGAACAUCAGCGCCAAGCGACAUCCUUCAUGUGCAAACGGACGGGGAAGUGCCCGGAGGGCCGCCUAGGCACGUCUCCGUGGAACCCCUGGGCCCGCAGCAGCUCAAGAUCACGUGGCAACCGCCGGAUCGAUCCCUGUGGAACGGCGAACUACUCGGAUACACCAUCGGCUACACCAAUCUCGGAGGAGAUGAUCAAUCGACGAACACGACGCGGGUAGGAAUCACAGGAAACAGGGACGGCUCGCACGAUUACAGGCUAACCGGUCUGCGAAAAUAUACUCAAUAUAGCGUAGUAGUGAAAGCGUUCAAUAGCAAAGGAGACGGCCCGGGAUCCGACCCCGUGAUGGCGCACACGCUCGAGGACGUUCCAAGUGCGCCACCGCAGAAUGUAGCCUGCGCCGCACUGACUGGUCAGAACAUCCAGGUGACCUGGAAACCGCCGCCUUCCGACAAAGUUCACGGGGUCGUGCUGGGGUACAAGCUGCUGUACGAGGCAGCGAGCGGCGCCGCCUCGGACUCGCAGAGCGGCAGGGAGACGAAAAUCAGUCAUGCACUCAGCACGGUGCUGCACGCGCUCAGCCCGUACACCAACUACACGGUGCAGGUGUUGGCUUACACCAAGGCGGGCGAGGGUGUCAGCAGCAGCGCCGUGUCCUGCACCACCGAGGAGACCGUCCCCGAUGCGCCGGAGCGCGUGAAGGCGGUGGUCAGCGGCGAGAACGCCGUCGUGAUAUCCUGGCUGCCGCCGCGCCGGCCGAACGGCCUCCUCACCAAGUACACCGUCUACAUCCGCGUGUUGGACCAAGGCCAGGAGGUGAAGAUCAGCAAGAGCACCUUGCCGGCGCAGAGCCUGCACCACGAGGCGACCGGCUUGAAGCCGCACGAGUCCUACGAGGCGUGGGUCACCGCCUCGACCAAGGUCGGCCAGGGUUCCAGCACGCCGGUCAUCAAACUCCAGCCCAGCACCAACGUUCCAGCCGCUAUAAUAUCGUUCGGCGUGUCCAUCGUGGUGCCGUGGCGGGUGGACGUUAAUAUGGCUUGCCUGGUGGUCGGCGAUCCCAGACCGAACGUCGAGUGGCGACGCGCCGACAUGAAGUUGCAGCAGAAAUCCGACGUGGGCCCGGACAACACGCUGACCCUGAGGAACGUGCAGCGCAGUCACGAGGACAACUACUCGUGCCACGCGAAGAACUCGCUCGGCACCGACGAGAUCACGUACACCCUGCACAUCCAGGUACCGCCGACGUCGCCGACUCUGCUGGCAACCGGCACGACGACCGACGCCAUACAGCUACAAUGGAAGCAGGGCGACAACGGUGGCGCGCCUAUUAAAGGAUUCCUCCUGGCUUAUCGUCGGGAAUUCGCCGAAUGGGAGGAAGUCAUGCUGGAUCGCCGGGCGAGCACGCAUCUCUUGGAAGGUUUGCAAUGCGGCACGCGGUAUCAGUUCACCCUGGCGGCGUUCAAUCGGAUCGGCAGCGGCAGCGCGAGCGACAUACAGACGGCGAAGACCAACGGCUCGAAGCCGGUGCCGCCGCCGAAGCAUCACUUCGUCCGGGCGAACCAGACGUUCGUUAUCCUGGAGUUGGCAGCCUGGCAGGACGGUGGCUGCUCGCUGACCUACUUCGUCGUCGAAUAUAGGAGGCUGCCCGGGGACUGGCUGCUAGUGUCCAAUAAUGUGCCGCCGCAGUCGAAAUUCCCUAUUGUGGAUCUAGAGAGCGGUACUAGCUAUGAGCUCCGUGUGACGGCUUACAACAACGCCGGUUCCACCCAGGCUGAGUACCUGUUCAACACGCUGUCGACGAAUGGAAACAACCGCUUGCACGAGGAUCAUCCGCAGGAGAGCGAGACCACACCUCUCUAUCUCGACGCGCAUGUGUUGGCGCCCAGCGUCAUCUCCGUGCUGGCUGUCAUCCUGGCGGUCGCCGGCGUGUGCUUCUGCCUCAAGACGCACGCGAGGAUUCAUCGGCAGCUCGGCGAUCGUUAUACUCAUCCCGAGCGUCUAUCGACGCACGCACGCGAUGUUUCCAGAUCCGGAGGGAUCCAGAGGCACGAACGAUCCGAGCUCGCAAACACAGGCGGCCUUAGACAACAAACACAAUAUGGAACAGAGGGAGCAGUACUACGCCACCGUGAGGAAACCGGGACAGCAGUCACCUUGCCGCGAGGUGAGCGCCCUGGAACGAAUACCCGAGUAUUCGGAAGAUAUUUAUCCGUAUGCCACCUUCAAUCUGCCCGAGCAGGAAAAUCUUUCGGCGAACCCCAUGAGACAGGCGUUCUUCUACGAACGCAGCGAGACGAUGCUGCAGGGUGCUCAAUGCGACAUGGACCAGUACACGAAGGUGCGAGGUCGGGCGCGACGCAAAUCGAAGUCGUUCAAAUCGGAAUCGGAGGAGUACGACACGCUGGGCUCGGACAGCGACACGGAGGUCGGCACCAGCAGCCGCACCGAGUCGUCGAAUCAUCUGGACGACUCCGGGCCGACGUCGAUAAUGGCUCGCUCGCCAGGACCGAACUCCGUCAAUCAGAGGGAGCAGCGGCUCGCCUUGGUGCAGCGACCGGUUCAUCAUAAUGUGCUGUACCACACGCACGAAUCAAGUACAUCAACCGAGCCGUCACCAAUUUCUGAGAGGAAGACCUUCCCGAGGCUCGAAAAGCAAAGGAGUCGCAGCGCGAUAACAGACG
rnacentral:misc_RNA from 1 species